CAGGGAAUCUUCCGCAAUGGACGCAAGUCUGACGGAGCAACGCCGCGUGAGUGAAGAAGGAUUUCGGUUCGUAAAACUCUGUUGUUAGAGAAGAACAGCGCAUAGAGUAACCGUUAUGCGUGUGACGGUAUCUAACCAGAAAGCCACGGCUAACUACGUGCCAGCAGCCGCGGUAAUACGUAGGUGGCAAGCGUUGUCCGGAUUUAUUGGGCGUAAAGCGAGCGCAGGCGGUCAAUUAAGUCUGAUGUGAAAGCCCCCGGCUCAACCGGGGAGGGUCAGUGGAAACUGGUUGACUUGAGUGCAGAAGAGGAGGGAGGAAUUCCAUGUGUAGCGGUGAAAUGCGUAGAUAUAUGGAAGAACACCAGUGGCGAAGGCGACUCUCUGGUCUGUAGCUGACGCUGAGGCUCGAAAGCGUGGGUAGCAAACAGG
rnacentral:rRNA from 1 species